GGUCGGCUGGACGGUCGCGUGGCGGGAGACCGCACCGAGGAACGUCCGGGCUCCACAGAGCGGGGCGGUGGGUAACGCCCACCCGGAGCAAUCCGCGAGACAGUGCCACAGAGAGAAGACCGCCGCGUCCUGCGAGGGCGCGGUAAGGGUGAAAGGGUGGUGUAAGAGACCACCGGGAGCCGUGGUGACACGGCUCGCCAGGUAAACCUCGCCCGGAGCAAGGCCAGACAGGGGAUGCCGACGCGGCUCGCCGAGUCCCCGGGUAGGCCGCUGGAGCGGCGCGGCAACGCGUCGCCGAGAGAGAUGACCGUCGAAGGGAGCCCUCGAGAGAGGCCCCGGAACAGAACCCGGCGUACAGGCCGGCCCGU
rnacentral:RNase_P_RNA from 1 species